ACGAACGCUGGCGGCGUGCUUAACACCUGCCAGUCGAACGAAGAGCGAUGGAAGCUUGCUUCUAUCAAUCUUAGUGGCGAACGGGUGAGUAACGCGUAAUCAACCUGCCCUUCAGAGGGGGACAACAGUUGGAAACGACUGCUAAUACCGCAUACGAUCUAACCUCGGCAUCGAGGAAAGAUGAAAGGUGGCCUCUAUGUAUAAGCUAUCACUGAAGGAGGGGAUUGCGUCUGAUUAGCUAGUUGGAGGGGUAACGGCCCACCAAGGCGAUGAUCAGUAGCCGGUCUGAGAGGAUGAACGGCCACAUUGGGACUGAGACACGGCCCAGACUCCUACGGGAGGCAGCAGUGGGGAAUCUUCCGCAAUGGACGAAAGUCUGACGGAGCAACGCCGCGUGAGUGAUGACGGCCUUCGGGUUGUAAAGCUCUGUUAAUCGGGACGAAAGGCCUUCUUGCGAAUAGUGAGAAGGAUUGACGGUACCGGAAUAGAAAGCCACGGCUAACUACGU
rnacentral:rRNA from 1 species